rnacentral:misc_RNA from 1 species
ACUUCAAUGGAUCACCAAGUAA